rnacentral:rRNA from 1 species
AAGAGACAGCAGUAGCCGCGGGAAUACAGAGGGUGCAAGCGUUAAUCGGAAUUACUGGGCGUAAAGCGCGCGUAGGUGGUUUGUUAAGUUGGAUGUGAAAGCCCCGGGCUCAACCUGGGAACUGCAUCCAAAACUGGCAAGCUAGAGUACGGUAGAGGGUGGUGGAAUUUCCUGUGUAGCGGUGAAAUGCGUAGAUAUAGGAAGGAACACCAGUGGCGAAGGCGACCACCUGGACUGAUACUGACACUGAGGUGCGAAAGCGUGGGGAGCAAACAGGAUUAGAUACCCCAGUAGUCCCUGUCUCUUAUAC